rnacentral:rRNA from 1 species
GUCUAGGGCCAUGCCACCCUGAACAAGCCUGAUGUCUGAUCUCAGAAGCUAAGCAGGGUUGGGCCCGGUUAGUACUUGGAUGGGAGACCACCUAGGAAGACCAGGUGCUGUAGGCA